UACAGAGGUGCCAAGCGUUAGGCGGAAUCACUGGGCUUAAAGCGCGUGUAGGUGGGUCGUUAAGUGUCCGCGUGAAAUCCCACGGCUCAACCGUGGAACUGCCGGGCAUACUGGCGAUCUUGAGGCAUUCAGGGGCGAGCGGAACAAGUGGUGGAGCGGUGAAAUGCGUAGAUAUUGGGAAGAACACCGGUGGCGAAGGCGGCGAGCUGGUCCAUUACUGACGCUGAGGCGCGACAGCGUGGGGGAGCAAACAGG
rnacentral:rRNA from 1 species